rnacentral:rRNA from 1 species
CCUACGGGAGGCAGCAGUGGGGAAUAUUGCACAAUGGGGGAAACCCUGAUGCAGCGACGCCGCGUGAGUGAGGAAGGAUUUCGGUAUGUAAAGCUCUAUUAGUAGGGAAGAAAAUUACGGUACCUGACUAAUAAGCCCCGGCUAACUACGUGCCAGCAGCCGCGGUAAUACGUAGGGGGCAAGCGUUAUCCGGAUUUACUGGGUGUAAAGGGAGCGUAGACGGGUAAGCAAGUCAGAAGUGAAAUCCUAGGGCUCAACCUUGGGACUGCUUUUGAAACUGGUAAGCUAGAGUGCAGGAGAGGUAAGCGGAAUUCCUGGUGUAGCGGUGAAAUGCGUAGAUAUUAGGAGGAACACCAAUGGCGAAGGCGGCUUACUAGACUGUAACUGACGUUGAGGCUCGAAAGCGUGGGGAGCAAACAGGAUUAGAUACCCGGGUAGUC